UAAGGCUUUAGCUUAAUUAAAGUGUCUGGCUUGCAUUCAGAAGAUGUGGGAUAAAGUCCUGCAAGUCUUAUC
rnacentral:tRNA from 1 species